rnacentral:rRNA from 1 species
UUAUAAAGUUUUAUUUUGGCUUAUAAAUUUAUUAUUAAAUUAUUUUAUAUGUAAAUUUUUGUGUGAAUUUUAUAUUAUUUUAAAAAUAAUAUAAUUAUUUUAUUCGCAGUAAUUAAUUUUGUUAAAUUAAAGAAAUUUAGAUACAGUAAUUUUAAAUUAGUAUUGGUUAAAUUUGUGCCAGCAUCCGCGGUUAUACAAAUAAUACAAGUGAAUUUUUUUUAGUAAUAGUUAAAUUAAAAAAAAUUUUUUUAGGGGUUUAUUUAUUAGGUGAAAUUUUUAAAUAAAUUAUUAUAAUUUUUGUUUGAUUAAUUGAAGCUAAGAAAUUUUUAUUAAAAACUAGGAUUAGAUACCCUAUUAUUAAAAAUGUAAAUAUAAAUACUAAGGUAGUAGUAGUUAUGAUCUUUAAACUUAAAAAAUUUGGCGGUAUUUUAGUCUAUUCAGAGGAACCUGUUUUAUAAUCGAUAAUCCACGUUGGACCUUACUUAAAUUGGUUAAUCAAUUUAUAUACCGUCGUUAUAAGAAUAUUUUAUAAGAAUAAUAAUUUUCUAUAAUUUUAAUUAAAUUUAUAUCAGAUCAAGGUGUAGUUUAUGUUUAAGUAAAAAUGGGUUACAAUUUAUUUAUAAUUGGAUAUAAUUAUGCAAAAAUUAUUGAAAUUGGAUUUGAAAGUAAAAUUAUAAAGAUUAAUAAUUUGAUUUUAGCUCUAAAAUAUGUACACAUCGCCCGUCGCUCUUGUUAUUAAAAUAAGAUAAGUCGUAACAUAGUAGAUGUACUGGAAAGUGUAUCUAGAAUGA